rnacentral:lncRNA from 1 species
UUAUAACUUCUGUGUCAGGAAACAAGUGGGCGAACUACCAACAUUAUUUGAAAAUAUUGUCAAUGAAAUGUACAUGUCUAAUAUUUCAUUCUCAUGCUACUUUUGUACAUAUAUAUGGUAUGUUUUAGAAUGCAGUGACGUACAAUGAUGUACUGGUGAGCUUUACUCAGGAAGAAUGGGCUUUGCUGGAUCCUUCCCAGAAGAGUCUCUACAAAGAUGUGAUGCUCGAAACCUAUAAGAACCUCACUGCCAUAGGCUAUAACUGGGAAGAUGAUAAUAUUGAAGAAGAUUGUGAAAAUUCUGGACGAUCCAGAAGGCAUCUUCAAAGGGAUGGACCAAGUAAUACUGCAGAGAAACCCUUUGAAUAUAUUCAAUAUGAUGGAGCCUUUGCAAGAAACCAUCAUCAUCAGUUACAUAAGAGCACUGGAUCUUUCAUGUCUUAUACUGAUCAUCAAAUACAUAGAAGAGAACACACUGAAGAAAAAUUCUAUGAUGGUAACCAAUGUGGUAAAACCUUUUCAUGUCACAGCCAUUUUGAAAUUCGUAAAGGAACAUAUACUGGAGAAAAACCCUAUGAAUGUAAUCAAUGUGGGAAAACCUUUGCAGGUCACAGCAAUCUUCAAAUCCAUAAAAGAAUACAUACUGGAGAGAAACCCUAUAAAUGUAAGCAAUGUGGCAAAGACUUUACACAUCACAGUACUCUUCAUAUCCAUAAAAGAAUACAUACUGGAGAGAAACCCUAUAAAUGUAACCAAUGUGGCAGAACCUUUGCACAAUUUGGUCAUCUUCAAUGUCAUAAAAUAACACAUACUGGAGAGAAACUCUAUCAAUGUAACCAAUGUGGGAAAGCCUUUACAUAUUCCAAAACUCUUAAAAUCCAUAAAGAAGAAACACAUACUGGAGAGAAACCCUAUGAAUGUAAUCAAUGUGGCAAAGCCUUUGCAUGUCGCAGAUAUCUUCGAAUCCAUAAAAAAA